rnacentral:lncRNA from 1 species
CUUCAUGAAAAUAGUUUAGGUUUUUUUUCAAGUGCUAAAUAAAAAUAGCAGAAAAAUGCAUUCUUUUUAUAAAAAAAUAAUGAGACUCCAGCUUAACUCUGGGAUAAGCUAUUUGGUGAUAGACACAGUACCUGGACCGGGCAGAGGAGUGGAAUCCAAAGAUAAAGUUAGGAGAACGUACUUCAAGGGGAAAUUUGUCCUUUCACUUGUGGUAUCAUAGUCUUUCAUGGAUCCCAUGCUGUUGUCUGUUUAUUUCUCCUUAAACAAGGAAAAAUAUACCCAGACCCAGUUUUCAUCAACAGACCAGACCACUACGGGCAACUCUCCAUCUAUCCCUCCUGAUUCCUUUAUGGACAACUCUCCAUCUAUUCCACCUGAUUCCUCUAUGGACAACUCUCCAUCUAUUCCGCCUGAUUCCUCCAUGGGCAACUGUCCAUGUAUUCCACCUGACUCCCAGCUAGGCUGCAUCCUCCACCAUUGGAAUCAAUUUGACCCUGACAACCUAAAAAGAAAACUGUGAUGAUUAAUACUGAGUGUCAACUUGAUUGGAUAGAAGGAUGCAAAGUAUUGAUCCUGGAUGUGUCUGUGAGGGUAUUGCCAAAGGAGAUUAACAUUUGAGUCAGUGGGCUGGGAAAGGCAGACCCACUCUUAAUCUGGGUGGGCACCAUCUAAUUAGCUGCCAGCAUGGCUAGAAUAUAAAGCAGGCAGAAAAACAUGAAAAAACUAGAUUGGCCUAGCCUCCCGGCAUACAUCUUUCUCCUGUGCUGGAUGAUUCCUGCCUUUGAACAUCGGACUCCAAGUUCUUCAGUUUUGGGACUCACACUGGCUUUCCUUGUUCUUCAGCUUGCAGACAGUCUAUUGUGGGAUGUGGUGAUCGUGUGAGUUAAUACUACUUAAUAAACUCAUACGUAUAAUAUAUAUCAUAUAUAUGAUAU